rnacentral:rRNA from 1 species
GACGAACGCUGGCGGCGUGCCUAAUACAUGCAAGUAGAACGCUGAAGGAGGAGCUUGCUUCUCUGGAUGAGUUGCGAACGGGUGAGUAACGCGUAGGUAACCUGCCUGGUAGCGGGGGAUAACUAUUGGAAACGAUAGCUAAUACCGCAUAAUAGUAGAUGUUGCAUGACAUUUGCUUAAAAGGUGCAAUUGCAUCACUACCAGAUGGACCUGCGUUGUAUUAGCUAGUUGGUGGGGUAACGGCUCACCAAGGCGACGAUACAUAGCCGACCUGAGAGGGUGAUCGGCCACACUGGGACUGAGACACGGCCCAGACUCCUACGGGAGGCAGCAGUAGGGAAUCUUCGGCAAUGGACGGAAGUCUGACCGAGCAACGCCGCGUGAGUGAAGAAGGUUUUCGGAUCGUAAAGCUCUGUUGUAAGAGAAGAACGAGUGUGAGAGUGGAAAGUUCACACUGUGACGGUAUCCUACCAGAAAGGGACGGCUAACUACGUG